rnacentral:rRNA from 1 species
AAAGGAAUAGACGGGGGCCCGCACAAGCAGUGGAGUAUGUGGUUUAAUUCGAAGCAACGCGAAAAACCUUACCAGGUCUUGACAUCGAGUGAAGAAUGUAGAGAUAUGUUCGUCCUUCGGGACACGAAGACAGGUGGUGCAUGGUUGUCGUCAGCUCGUGUCGUGAGAUGUUGGGUUAAGUCCCGCAACGAGCGCAACCCUUACCAUUAGUUGCUACGCAAGAGCACUCUAAUGGGACUGCCGUUGACAAAACGGAGGAAGGUGGGGAUGACGUCAAAUCAUCAUGCCCCUUAUGACCUGGGCUACACACGUACUACAAUGGCAAUUAACAGAGGGAAGCAACAUGGUGACAUGAAGCAAACCCCUAAAAAUUGUCUCAGUUCGGAUUGUAGGCUGCAACUCGCCUACAUGAAGUCGGAAUUGCUAGUAAUCGCGGAUCAGCAUGCCGCGGUGAAUACGUUCCCGGGCCUUGUACACACCGCCCGU